UUUCGGUGGCGCGACGCUCCGCGCCCGAAAGAGGGAACGCCGUGAAAUUCGGCGACAGUACCCGCUGCUGUGAUUCCCGCUGAACCGAGGGCAACAGGCCACUGCAAAUCCGUUUGCGGGAAGGCGCCCGAGGGAAGGGAUCAGUCAGAAGACCUGCCGGACACGAA
rnacentral:ncRNA from 1 species